GGAGAAUGCAUGGAUCAAGUUUGAAAAACAUUUUUUAAAUUAAUUUAAUUAAUGUUCCAGUAAAAUAUGCAACUCUUUCGACUGGGAAGAGAAUACCAAACAAUUUAAAGGGACACUCAGCCCAUUCUGUCUUUCUGAAGAGGUAAAUCUCUAAAAACAUAAAUAAGUUUUGUAUUUGUGAGCUUUUCACUCAAACGGUAGGUAAAGCUGCAUAUUUUAGGGGUAAUAAUUUCACGGUACUGUGAUCUCGUAGCAGGGCAGAGUGCGUCGGAGCAGCUCAAAAUAAACUGGCGUCACCAUGUUCAUGUCUGUGAAGGACAACCAGUGUCCCGGCUCACUGGUGUCUUCAUAAUGGAGAGGGACAGGAGGAAUGCGGCCUCUCUAGUGUCCACCAGGGGGCGACUCUUCUAAUCCCAUAGCAGUCUAUGACAAAAUGACUCCACUUCUCUCUUGAUUUAUUCCCUCGGUGAACGCUGUAAACACGAGUUUAUGGUCUCAAUCUCUAGUUUCAAGUCUUCUUCAAUACAGCGUGAUGUUCAUUUAGCAAAUGAUCCAGUCACUGAAUCACGUUUCCAGUGGGUGAUUGACAUGUUGACAACGUGUCCACAAGCUCACAGUUUUGCUUCCACUGUGUCCUCGUGCAAUCAGAACCUUCUCAUCCACAAAUAGCAGACAUGCCAUUAUCCAUCUUCUCAUCACCUCCGCCACUCCUGGUUUCUAUGUCAUUUUGACCUUUGCAGCACAUAGCAGUUACAGAGAGUUAAUAAUUCCUUUUUGCUCUGAUGGGUAUUGAAUGUGGCGGUGGCUUGUGCAAGCCGAGGGCCGCAGCUUUUUAUAGCCGGCACACCGAGGGAGGGGUACACCUUCCAUGGAGAGGAAUGGAUCCUAGGUCUCCCCGGCUCAGCUGUCCUCCAUCGACUGUAAAUCAGCGCCGGGGGGCGACUCACUCACUUGCGAUGCUCCAACACUCACUACUGUCUGUCCCUGCAUGCGGUUUGCUCUGCAGGACGUCGGGAGGGGGGGAAUGAUCUCCAUUCCACUCGCCGCCACCAAGCCUCGGCGAGUCUGGAAAGCUGUGAUGUCCUCUGCUGCCGGCUCUCUGCGGUGUCCUGCUCGUCCGUCAGAGUAUCCCCCCCCCCCACCCCCACCC
ensembl:lncRNA